rnacentral:rRNA from 1 species
GAGCUUGCUCCCUGAUGUUAGCGGCGGACGGGUGUAGUAACACGUGGGUAACCUGCCUGUAAGACUGGGAUAACUCCGGGAAACCGGGGCUAAUACCGGAUGGUUGUUUGAACCGCAUGGUUCAGACAUAAAAGGUGGCUUCGGCUACCACUUACAGAUGGACCCGCGGCGCAUUAGCUAGUUGGUGAGGUAACGGCUCACCAAGGCGACGAUGCGUAGCCGACCUGAGAGGGUGAUCGGCCACACUGGGACUGAGACACGGCCCAGACUCCUACGGGAGGCAGCAGUAGGGAAUCUUCCGCAAUGGACGAAAGUCUGACGGAGCAACGCCGCGUGAGUGAUGAAGGUUUUCGGAUCGUAAAGCUCUGUUGUUAGGGAAGAACAAGUGCCGUUCAAAUAGGGCGGCACCUUGACGGUACCUAACCAGAAAGCCACGGCUAACUACGUGCCAGCAGCCGCGGUAAUACGUAGGUGGCAAGCGUUGUCCGGAAUUAUUGGGCGUAAAGGGCUCGCAGGCGGUUUCUUAAGUCUGAUGUGAAAGCCCCCGGCUCAACCGGGGAGGGUCAUUGGAAACUGGGGAACUUGAGUGCAGAAGAGGAGAGUGGAAUUCCACGUGUAGCGGUGAAAUGCGUAGAGAUGUGGAGGAACACCAGUGGCGAAGGCGACUCUCUGGUCUGUAACUGACGCUGAGGAGCGAAAGCGUGGGGAGCGAACAGGAUUAGAUACCCUGGUAGUCCACGCCGUAAACGAUGAGUGCUAAGUGUUAGGGGGUUUCCGCCCCUUAGUGCUGCAGCUAACGCAUUAAGCACUCCGCCUGGGGAGUACGGUCGCAAGACUGAAACUCAAAGGAAUUGACGGGGGCCCGCACAAGCGGUGGAGCAUGUGGUUUAAUUCGAAGCAACGCGAAGAACCUUACCAGGUCUUGACAUCCUCUGACAAUCCUAGAGAUAGGACGUCCCCUUCGGGGGCAGAGUGACAGGUGGUGCAUGGUUGUCGUCAGCUCGUGUCGUGAGAUGUUGGGUUAAGUCCCGCAACGAGCGCAACCCUUGAUCUUAGUUGCCAGCAUUCAGUUGGGCACUCUAAGGUGACUGCCGGUGACAAACCGGAGGAAGGUGGGGAUGACGUCAAAUCAUCAUGCCCCUUAUGACCUGGGCUACACACGUGCUACAAUGGACAG